GCGAACUGCGAAUGGCUCAUUAUAUAAGUAUCGUUUAUUUGAUAAUACUUUACUACUUGGAUAACCGUGGUAAUUCUAGAGCUAAUACAUGCUGAAAAUCCCGACUUCGGAAGGGAGUAUUUAUUAGAUUAAAAACCAAUGCCCCUCGGGGCUCUCUGGUGAAUCAUGAUAACUAGUCGAAUCGACAGGCCUUGUGCCGGCGAUGGCUCAUUCAAAUUUCUUCCCUAUCAACUUUCGAUGUUUGGGUAUUGGCCAAACAUGGUGGCAACGGGUAACGGAGGGUUAGGGCUCGACCCCGGAGAAGGAGCCUGAGAAACGGCUACUACAUCCAAGGAAGGCAGCAGGCGCGCAAAUUACCCAAUCCCGACACGGGGAGGUAGUGACAAUAAAUACUGAUACAGGGCUCUUUUGGGUCUUGUAAUCGGAAUGAGUACAAUUUAAAUCCCUUAACGAGGAACAAUUGGAGGGCAAGUCUGGUGCCAGCAGCCGCGGUAAUUCCAGCUCCAAUAGCGUAUAUUAAAGUUGUUGUCGUUAAAAAGCUCGUAGUUGAACCUUGGGCCUGGCUGGCCGGUCCGCCUCACCGCGUGCACUGGUCCGGCCGGGCCUUUCCCUCUGCGGAACCCCAUGCCCUUCACUGGGUGUCGCGGGGAAACAGGACUUUUACUUUGAAAAAAUUAGAGUGCUCAAGGCAGGCCUAUGCUCGAAUACAUUAGCAUGGAAUAAUAGGACGUGUGGUUCUAUUUUGUUGGUUUCUAGGACCGCCGUAAUGAUUAAUAGGGACAGUCGGGGGCAUCAGUAUUCAAUUGUCAGAGGUGAAAUUCUUGGAUUUAUUGAAGACUAACUACUGCGAAAGCAUUUGCCAAGGAUGUUUUCAUUAAUCAGGGAACGAAAGUUAGGGGAUCGAAGACGAUCAGAUACCGUCGUAGUCUUAACCAUAAACUAUGCCGACUAGGGAUCGGCGAUGUUACAUUUUUGACGCGUUCGGCACCUUACGAGAAAUCAAAGUGCU
rnacentral:rRNA from 1 species